AAAUGCAUUUAACUUUUAUAUAUCUAGUGGAUGCCAGGCAUUAAAACUUUUCCAACUGGACAGGUAAGUCUGUACUCAGAGUAGUUUUUGGAAUGUAAAUACAGCCAUAUUUGUCCGUUUGUUAUGAUGAACCUGAAGUACAGUUAAUUUGAAAAAAAUAAUAAAAAAUAUAGGUCACCAAUGACAAUGAAUGAGUUAAAAAAGAUAUUACAAUUUUAUUGCCAAGAAAUGACAUUUUUGCACUAAAGCCAAAGGGAG
rnacentral:lncRNA from 1 species